rnacentral:rRNA from 1 species
UUAUUAUAGCAAAGAGGAUACACCUGUUCCCAUUCCGAACACAGAAGUUAAGCUCUUUAGCGCUGAUGGUACUCGGAGGGCAACCUCCCGGGAGAGUAAGACG